GGCCUGAUAGCUCAACUGGUAGAGAACUGCAUUGGUAUUGUAGAGAUAUAAGGGUUGAUAUCCCAUUCAGACCU
rnacentral:tRNA from 1 species